CCUACGGGGGGCAGCAGUGGGGAAUAUUGGGCAAUGGGCGCAAGCCUGACCCAGCAACGCCGCGUGAAGGAAGAAGGCUUUCGGGUCGUAAACCUCUUUUAAGAGGGAAGAGCAGAAGACGGUACCUCUUGAAUAAGCCACGGCUAACUACGUCCCAGCAGCAGGGGUAACACGUAGGUGGCAAGCGUUGUCCGGAUUUACUGGGUGUAAAGGGCGUGCAGCCGGGAAUACAAGUCAGAUGUGAAAUCCCACGGCUCAACCGCGGAACUGCAUUUGAAACUGUUUUUCUUGAGUACCGGAGAGAACAUCGGAAUUCCUUGUGUAGCGGUGAAAUGCGUAGAUAUAAGGAAGAACACCAGUGGCGAAGGCGGAUGUCUGGACGGCAACUGACGGUGAGGCGCGAAAGCGUGGGGAGCAAACAGGAUUAGAUACCCGUGUAGUC
rnacentral:rRNA from 1 species